GGGCAGGCCCUGUGCAACGGCGUGCCGUGAACCAUGUCAGGCGGGGAACCGAGCAGCAUUAAGCGGAUCUCGCCGUGUGCCGCAGCAAGUCUGUUCCCA
rnacentral:SRP_RNA from 1 species